rnacentral:rRNA from 1 species
UGCGUAGGCGGCUAUUUAAGUCAGUGGUGAAAGACUCCGGCUCAACCGGGGCAGUGCCAUUGAUACUGGAUAGCUUGAGUAUUGGAGGGGUACAUGGAAUUGAUGGUGUAGCGGUGAAAUGCAUAGAUACCAUCAGGAACACCGAUAGCGAAGGCAUUGUACUGGCCAAUAACUGACGCUGAUGCACGAAAGCAUGGGGAGCGAACAGGAUUAGAUACCCUGGUAGUCC